ensembl:processed_transcript
AGGACUCAAUUGUGGCUGCUGCGCGUAUUAACGCAAUCUAACCGCCGUGCUUAGGUUAUUUAGUCGAAGGACAGUUUGCUUUAAUUAGCCCUCAGCUUACAGGUGGGCGAAAGCCGUACGUAGGACGGCCCCUCUUUCAGUUCCUCAACAGGAGACGCGGGACUGUCAUUUGUUUGUCAUCCUGUGGGACAGAAGAAACGGCUCCGUUAACAGGUGCGAGAUCAAACAAAAAAUACUACAAGGGAGUCAAGUCGUGUAUUUGUGCAGUGAAUAGGUUUAAUUUGCAUUCGCGGUAAAUCAGGAGCUAUCUCUUUAUUAAAGCAUUUUUUUCUUUCGAAGCCUCUUUCGUUCCGGAGGAGGACCGACAAAGCCAUGUCAACCAAAAAACGGGUGGAUUUAACGAGAAGGAGCCGAAGCCCCGCGGUGUCCGAGGCGGAGAUGUUUGGUGAUUUUCAGGAGUGGUGCCUUCGCACUUACGGGGACUCCGGGAAAACAAAGACCGUCACCCGGCGAAAAUACAACAAAAUUCUGCAGACCCUCUUACAGAGCGACGACUCGGAGGGCGUCAUUAUCGAGAGCAACCACAUCAACGCCAAAUUUAAGUUCUGGGUGAAAUCUAAAGGUUUCCAGGUGGGCAGGAGCGAGAGCGAGAACGAGAACGGGGCAGCGGACAGACCGGUCCUGUACGUCCCCAUCAAGGCAACGGUUAGUAUGGUGUGUGGAUGGGGUCCUGGGACCGGACGGCUCCUCUCUGAAAAGGGUGGCAGUGGUGGAGGACUUCUAUGACAUCAUCUAUGCCAUGCAUGUGGAGAUCAGCAGUGACCCGGCCAAAGCCCCCAAACACGCCGGACAGAAGAAAACCUACAAAGCGGUGGGUAAAGCGAGGGGCUUCUUUCCCUGAUAAAACAUGGAAGUGUGUUUUUUGGCCUCAUGCAUAGCGGAGACAUAUGCGUUUCUGCCCAGAGAAGCGGUGACCCGUUUCCUGAUGAGCUGUGGUGAAUGUCAGAAGAGGAUGCACAUCAGCCCCAGCGGAGCAGAGUUCAAAGUUCUCAGAGAAUAACCAGCCGAGUUCUUUGGCAGCUGAUCUUAUAGACUACAACAUGCCUCUUACCACAACAUACCUGAAGCAGAAGAAACUGCAGUGCAUGAACAACAACGAGCAGGUAAAAACACACUUCUCUAAC